rnacentral:rRNA from 1 species
UACGGAGGGUGCAAGCGUUAAUCGGAAUUACUGGGCGUAAAGCGUGCGUAGGCGGCUUUUUAAGUCGGAUGUGAAAUCCCUGAGCUUAACUUAGGAAUUGCAUUCGAUACUGGAAAGCUAGAGUAUGGGAGAGGAUGGUAGAAUUCCAGGUGUAGCGGUGAAAUGCGUAGAGAUCUGGAGGAAUACCGAUGGCGAAGGCAGCCAUCUGGCCUAAUACUGACGCUGAGGUACGAAAGCAUGGGGAGCAAACAGG